rnacentral:rRNA from 1 species
GAUGAACGCUGGCGGCGUGCCUAAUACAUGCAAGUCGAGCGAACAGAUGAGGAGCUUGCUCCUCUGACGUUAGCGGCGGACGGGUGAGUAACACGUGGAUAACCUACCUAUAAGACUGGGAUAACUUCGGGAAACCGGAGCUAAUACCGGAUAAUAUAUUGAACCGCAUGGUUCAAUAGUGAAAGACGGUUUUGCUGUCACUUAUAGAUGGAUCCGCGCCGCAUUAGCUAGUUGGUAAGGUAACGGCUUACCAAGGCAACGAUGCGUAGCCGACCUGAGAGGGUGAUCGGCCACACUGGAACUGAGACACGGUCCAGACUCCUACGGGAGGCAGCAGUAGGGAAUCUUCCGCAAUGGGCGAAGGCCUGACGGAGCAACGCCGCGUGAGUGAUGAAGGUCUUCGGAUCGUAAAACUCUGUUAUUAGGGAAGAACAAAUGUGUAAGUAACUAUGCACGUCUUGACGGUACCUAAUCAGAAAGCCACAGCUAACUACGUG